rnacentral:rRNA from 1 species
UGGGGAAUAUUGGACAAUGGGCGAAAGCCUGAUCCAGCCAUGCCGCGUGUGUGAAGAAGGUCUUCGGAUUGUAAAGCACUUUAAGUUGGGAGGAAGGGCAGUAAGCGAAUACCUUGCUGUUUUGACGUUACCGACAGAAUAAGCACCGGCUAACUCUGUGCCAGCAGCCGCGGUAAUACAGAGGGUGCAAGCGUUAAUCGGAAUUACUGUGCGUAAAGCGCGCGUAGGUGGUUCGUUAAGUUGAAUGUGAAAGCCCCGGGCUCAACCUGGGAACUGCAUCCAAAACUGGCGAGCUAGAGUAGGGCAGAGAGUGGUGGAAUUUCCUGUGUAGCGGUGAAAUGCGUGGAUAUAGGAAGGAACACCAGUGGCGAAGGCGACCACCUGGGCUCAUACUGACACUGAGGUGCGAAAGCGUGGGGAGCAAACAGG